rnacentral:rRNA from 1 species
CUGAGACACGGUCCAGACUCCUACGGGAGGCAGCAGUAGGGAAUCUUCCGCAAUGGGCGAAAGCCUGACGGAGCAACGCCGCGUGAGUGAUGAAGGUCUUCGGAUCGUAAAACUCUGUUAUUAGGGAAGAACAUACGUGUAAGUAACUAUGCACGUCUUGACGGUACCUAAUCAGAAAGCCACGGCUAACUACGUGCCAGCAGCCGCGGUAAUACGUAGGUGGCAAGCGUUAUCCGGAAUUAUUGGGCGUAAAGCGCGCGUAGGCGGUUUUUUAAGUCUGAUGUGAAAGCCCACGGCUCAACCGUGGAGGGUCAUUGGAAACUGGAAAACUUGAGUGCAGAAGAGGAAAGUGGAAUUCCAUGUGUAGCGGUGAAAUGCGCAGAGAUAUGGAGGAACACCAGUGGCGAAAGCGACUUUCUGGUCUGUAACUGACGCUUAUGUGCGAAAGCGUGGGGAUCAAACAGGAUUAGAUACCCUGGUAGUCCACGCCGUAAACGAUGAGUGCUAAGUGUUAAGGGGGUUUCCGCCCCUUAGUGCUGCAGCUAACGCAUUAAGCACUCCGCCUGGGGAGUACGACCGCAAGGUUGAGACUCACAGGAAUUGACGGGGACCCCCACAAGCCGGUGGAGCAUGUGGUGUAAUUCUAAGCAACGCGAAGAACCUUACCAAAUCUUGACAUCCUUUGACAACUCUAGAAGAUAGAGCCUUCUCCUUCCGGGGACAAGAUGACAAGUGGUGCAUGGUUGUCGUCACCUCCUGUCGUGAGAUGU